rnacentral:tRNA from 1 species
GGAAGGUUGGCAGAGCGGUUGAAUGCACCGGUCUUGAAAACCGGCGUGUCGGCAACGACACCGUGAGUUCGAAUCUCACACCUUCCGCCA